UUCCCUGAUCUUCCUCCGUCCCUGCGUUUUCCGUUGUUCAACUGUCAUGUCUUCUAUUUCUUACUGUAGAUCUAGAGUAGAACCUGCAAAUACUAUGUAAAGGGAAACAAAAAUGACUUUAUUCUUCAAUCUUUGGAUUUAAAAGAAAAAAAAAAUGGCUAGAAAAUCCAGCUCAUUCUUUGGGAUUUUCUCCUACAUCGCUUCUUGAACACCCAUUCGGUUAGAGAAACUUAAUUGGUUUCAGUGAGCAGGCAGGCACGGUGUUUGUUGUAAUGCAUAAGAGAGUCUGUAUCGUGGAUCUCGAUAAUGGCAGUGUAUUUUUACAAUGAGACAUGGGAUACCGCUGCAGUAGUUUUUUAAGAGGUCUUUUUGGAGUUGUCUGGAAGGUUGUUAGUGAGGAUAGAUGUCAAAUCCAAAUUUGGUUAGCUGGCAUCUUAUUUCAAAUUGCAAGAAACGGAGCUGCGACGAUGCCAUCUCAUCUGGUGAAUGGAAGUAGCGUAGCACCAUCUUUGGGUUUUUGGAUUUUUUUUUUUUUUUUUAAAAUUGGUUUUUGUGAAAACUAGCUUAGCGAGGGCGUCAUAUACUCAUAUGUCCUUGAUUGCGUACUAGAAUGUACCAUAAUCACGAGAAACAUAUGAUGUUGUGAAUUUUCAGAAUUAUAUUAAAUAAAUAUAUAGGUGGAAUUGGA